rnacentral:rRNA from 1 species
AAACUUAAAGGAAUUGACGGGGACCCGCACAAGCGGUGGAUGAUGUGGAUUAAUUCGAUGCAACGCGAAAACCUUACCUACCCUUGACAUGCCUGGAACCCUGGAGAGAUCUGGGGGUGCCCGAAAGGGAGCCGGGACACAGGUGCUGCAUGGCUGUCGUCAGCUCGUGUCGUGAGAUGUUGGGUUAAGUCCCGCAACGAGCGCAACCCUUGUCACUAGUUGCUACGCGAGGGCACUCUAGUGAGACUGCCGGUGACAAACCGGAGGAAGGUGGGGAUGACGUCAAGUCCUCAUGGCCCUUAUGGGUAGGGCUUCACACGUCAUACAAUGGUCGGUACAGAGGGUUGCCAAGCCGCGAGGUGGAGCCAAUCCCAGAAAGCCGAUCGUAGUCCGGAUUGCAGUCUGCAACUCGACUGCAUGAAGUCGGAAUCGCUAGUAAUCGCGGAUCAGCAUGUCGCGGUGAAUACGUUCCCGGGUCUUGUACACACCGCCCGUCACACCAUGGGAGUGGGGUUCACCAGAAGUAGGUAGCCUAACCGCGAGGGGGGCGCUUACCACGGUGAGCUUCAUGACUGGGGUGAAGUCGUAACAAGGUAGCCGUAUCGGAAGGUGCGGCUGGAUCACCUCCUUUAUG